GCAUAUACAUACUUAAGUAUGUAUAUAACAGAUUUUUUUAUUACACAUUUACCUACAUUCCGCUAAAUUCUUGACUUGCAAUUGGUCACCGUGCUCCCUUCAUUAAAAUUUGUUUAAGAUUCUGAUACCACUUUUCCCAUAAUUCUACUUUUUGGAAGCAUUGAAGUUGGAGAUUUCACCACUCUUAGCAUUUGGCAUUCCCAUCUCAUCCGAAUCUCUCACCUGGGCCAUUACGAUUAUCAGAAUAACACGAAGCUCCGAUUCAGGGUGAAAAAAUUUCCUGGACUUAUACUUAAUUUGCAAUUGAUCACCUUCCGGUUAAGAAAUUUUAGCUAAAAAUAUGUAAAAAACGUUAUACGUAUUCAUGAGUAAUUUUCAUAAUACAUAUUGCUUACUAAAUAAAUAAUUGAUUAACCUUUUUCGUCC